rnacentral:rRNA from 1 species
CCUACGGGAGGCAGCAGUGAGGAAUAUUGGUCAAUGGACGAGAGUCUGAACCAGCCAAGUAGCGUGAAGGAUGACUGCCCUAUGGGUUGUAAACUUCUUUUAUAUGGGAAUAAAACGUUCCACGUGUGGGAUUUUGUAUGUACCAUAUGAAUAAGGAUCGGCUAACUCCGUGCCAGCAGCCGCGGUAAUACGGAGGAUCCGAGCGUUAUCCGGAUUUAUUGGGUUUAAAGGGAGCGUAGGUGGAUUGUUAAGUCAGUUGUGAAAGUUUGCGGCUCAACCGUAAAAUUGCAGUUGAAACUGGCAGUCUUGAGUACAGUAGAGGUGGGCGGAAUUCGUGGUGUAGCGGUGAAAUGCUUAGAUAUCACGAAGAACUCCGAUUGCGAAGGCAGUUCACUGGACUGCAACUGACACUGAGGCUCGAAAGUGUGGGUAUCAAACAGGAUUGGAUACCCCUGUAGUC